GACGAACGCUGGCGGCGUGCUUAACACAUGCAAGUCGAACGGAAAGGCCCUGCUUUUGUGGGGUGCUCGAGUGGCGAACGGGUGAGUAACACGUGAGUAACCUGCCCUUGACUUUGGGAUAUCUUCAGGAAACUGGGGCUAAUACCGGAUAGGAGCUCCUGCUGCAUGGUGGGGGUCGGAAAGUUUCGGCGGUUGGGGAUGGACUCGCGGCUUAUCAGCUUGUUGGUGGGGUAGUGGCUUACCAAGGCUUUGACGGGUAGCCGGCCUGAGAGGGUGACCGGCCACAUUGGGACUGAGAUACGGCCCAGACUCCUACGGGAGGCAGCAGUGGGGAAUAUUGCACAAUGGGCGGAAGCCUGAUGCAGCAACGCCGCGUGCGGGAUGACGGCCUUCGGGUUGUAAACCGCUUUCGCCUGUGACGAAGCGUGAGUGACGGUAAUGGGUAAAGAAGCACCGGCUAACUACGUG
rnacentral:rRNA from 1 species